GCUGGCGGCGGCCUAACACAUGCAAGUCGAACGGUAACAGGAAGCAGCUUGCUGCUUUGCUGACGAGUGGCGGACGGGUGAGUAAUGUCUGGGAAACUGCCUGAUGGAGGGGGAUAACUACUGGAAACGGUAGCUAAUACCGCAUAACGUCGCAAGACCAAAGAGGGGGACCUUAGGGCCUCUUGCCAUCGGAUGUGCCCAGAUGGGAUUAGCUAGUAGGUGGGGUAACGGCUCACCUAGGCGACGAUCCCUAGCUGGUCUGAGAGGAUGACCAGCCACACUGGAACUGAGACACGGUCCAGACUCCUACGGGAGGCAGCAGUGGGGAAUAUUGCACAAUGGGCGCAAGCCUGAUGCAGCCAUGCCGCGUGUAUGAAGAAGGCCUUCGGGUUGUAAAGUACUUUCAGCGGGGAGGAAGGGAGUAAAGUUAAUACCUUUGCUCAUUGACGUUACCCGCAGAAGAAGCACCGGCUAACUCCGUGCCAGCAGCCCGCGGUAAUACGGAGGGUGCAAGCGUUAAUCGGAAUUACUGGGCGUAAAGCGCACGCAGGCGGUUUGUUAAGUCACAUGUUGAAACCCCGGCUCAACCUGGGAACUGCAUCUGAUACUGGCAAGCUUGAGUCUCGUAGAGGGGGGUAGAAUUCCAGGUGUAGCGGUGAAAUGCGUAGAGAUCUGGAGGAAUACCGGUGGCGAAGCGGCCCCCUGGACGAAGACUGACGUCAGGUCGAAAGCUGGGAGCAAAC
rnacentral:rRNA from 1 species